GCGCUUGCGCGGUUGCGCCCUUGCCCUUCUCUCUCUCUCUCUCCAAGAACAGUACUCCCAUCCCAUGCCUACAGCUACAGGUCGAGCAGUGGCCAGGGGCCCGGAAGAGCACGGGCCAACUAGAGAAGUAGAGAUUGGCAUUACACACAUAAAGUAUAUAUAUAUAUUGGCACGAUGCCCGCUCCUCUGCAUCAGGGCGAUCACGCUAUUCUCCGCGCGAAUGGGUUUGCCGCGGACCCAUAUAGGCUCAUCGGGAGAAGGCGAGCUGACGGGCCGAGCGGCCGCCACGCCGACCGUCGCCGACCAGUCGUCCACCGGCAAUCACCGAGGCCGUCGCGCCCGCCGGCCAUUCAUUCAUAGUCUCUCGGUCUCUCUUCCUGCUACUUUCUUCUCCUGACGGUACUUACUCGCGGCCGAGAUGAUGACCCCGGUCAGAACUUCUUCUGCCUCGCGUUUUGGGGUCGUGGGGUUCUUGCUUCUGCGGCUCUGCCUGGCUUCUGCCUCGCUUCGCUUGUUCGCCUACUUGGAUCGGGUGCCCUGCCCAUGCGCUCUGCAUUUUCUCGUCACAUCGAUUCCGCUCGAAACGAAGCUGGUGGUUCGUUUUACUUCAAUCCAAUGUCGCAUUCCCCCUCCUCCUCCUCCUAUCCGAUUGGUGUGGUGCUAACAUGUCCUUUCUCUUGCGCUUUGCGAAAGCACUCUCAUAAGGAAAAAAAAACCAACCUUGCAGUGCAGAAUUCUCUCCGUUAGUCUCAAAUCUCGCUACUAGAGCGCUAUCAAACUCUACUUUCUUUCCAAAAGAUUUCAGAUAAAUCUUUAUAAAUGGGGGUACUUUACUACUCUGAUUCUGCUGUACAAGUAGAAGGCACUAAACAUGACCUAACAGUCAAGCUGGUCGCGUUGUUUUCCGGCUUCAAGGAAUAUGUGGCGUUAAUCAUGGUGUAAUCCAAAAAAAUCCACGUGCAAAAUGACUGACAGCCUCUUCACGCCACCAGUCUUGCUCACGAGCCUAGUCCAUGCUACAGUCGAGAGCUGGUAGAACGGAUAUGCCUCGUAAUUAUCGGCGUCACCAUCGCUGUUGUCGCUGUCCCACUGCUGCUAGUGCUAGCUACUCCUACGUACAGCAGGAAGACAGGGCGGGGACAGCCGCGGGCCCCACCUAGCAACAAAGCCGGGCCCCACGCCCUGCCAGUGGUGCAUGAGAAUCCAGGCCCAGGCCCAGGCGGGCCCCUCUCGCCGUGGAGGCGUGGAGGCGUUAGCGUCCGUAAUUCUCGCAGGCUGUCCCUGUCGACGGGAGAUGUGUCACGUGUCGAACCCCUCCGCCGACGCUCCAGUCGACCUGUGUGUGCAAUGUUGGUGUAGGUGGACGGUGGUGGCGGCGGCGGUACAGGCCGUGGAGCGAGAUCGUCGGUGAUAGGACUCGGUCCAAAAUGCAAUGUUGACGUAAAAAUUGGACCUAAAACUACACGAGUCAGUUUUAAUUGUUGCGCCAACUGCUGCUGCGUCGUGUACCUCCACGCGGAGCAGUCGGAGGCGAAGAACGGCGCGGACCACGGAGGAGAGCACUUAGCCAUGAACGGCGGCGCGUCGCUAGACGGCACGGACCACGGAAGCGAGCACUCAGCGACGAGCGGUGGCUCAGUACACGGCGGCUGGCGGAGACGCGGCGCUAGAUGCCGGCGGAGACGCGUAAAAGUAGACGGCGGCUCUCAGACGAGACGAGUGAACCCCAAGCCGCGACUCGACGAGCUAUGGAAAGUGUGGGCUGUAGUUGGGCCGGACCAGCAGGCCCGAAUCGCGUUAAAACUGCUGGCGGAUGCGCCGACGCGUCCGAUUGUGAGCUCACGGCACAUAUGGCGUGACUGUUUUGUAACUGCAUUUGCACGUGAAAUUACACAACCUACCUAGUUCCGGUAGGGGCAGAGGGUGUCUUGAGGCCACGGUCCACGACUGUGAGUGCUGCACGCCUGCACACACUACAGCCUGUGAACCGGUCUUGCCACCCCUUUCAGCUGUCAGCUCUGAUGAAAAUAUCCAAUAAUGAAACCUAUGAAUACCAGGCCUGAGAAGUAGGUCGGGCCAAGUUGCUUGCA